rnacentral:tRNA from 1 species
GAGGCUAUACCUCAGGGUAGAGUACAUGCUUAGUGUGCAUGCAUGAAGUCCUGGGUUCAAUCCCCAGUAGCUCCA